AGCAUUGUGCACUGGCUAUAACGUGAUCGAUAAGACUUUGCCGACGUUCGUUUAUUGAAGGUUGAAAACUGCUCCGCAAUUGCACGUGAUCGCCCAGGAAGUAUAGGUGCGACACGCAGGUUUUGAACGACCCAAGUGG
rnacentral:snRNA from 1 species